rnacentral:rRNA from 1 species
ACGCACGCUGGCGGCGUGCUUAACACAUGCAAGUCGAACGGUGAAGCUCCAGCUUGCUGGAGUGGAUCAGUGGCGAACGGGUGAGUAACACGUGAGCAACCUGCCCCUGACUCUGGAAUAAGCGCUGGAAACGGCGUCUAAUACUGGAUACGAGAAGGGUCCGCAUGGGCACUUUCUGGAAAGUUUUUCGGUUGGGGAUGGGCUCGCGGCCUAUCAGCUUGUUGGUGAGGUAAUGGCUCACCAAGGCGACGACGGGUAGCCGGCCUGAGAGGGCGACCGGCCACACUGGGACUGAGACACGGCCCAGACUCCUACGGGAGGCAGCAGUGGGGAAUAUUGCACAAUGGGCGAAGGCCUGAUGCAGCGACGCCGCGUGAGGGAUGACGGCCUUCGGGUUGUAAACCUCUUUCAGCAGGGAAGAAGCGAAAGUGACGGUACCUGCAGAAGAAGCACCGGCUAACUACGUG